rnacentral:rRNA from 1 species
GUGUCAGCCGCCGCGGUAAUACGGAGGGCGCAAGCGUUAAUCGGAAUCACUGGGCGUAAAGCGCGCGUAGGCUGUUUGGUAAGUCAGACGUGAAAUCCCUCGGCUCAACCGGGGAACUGCGUUUGAUACUGCCGAACUCGAGUCCUGGAGAGGGUGGCGGAAUUCCUGGUGUAGGAGUGAAAUCCGUAGAUAUCAGGAGGAACACCGGUGGCGAAGGCGGCCACCUGGACAGGUACUGACGCUGAGGCGCGAAAGCGUGGGGAGCAAACAGGAUUAGAUACCCUGGUAGUCCACGCGGUAAACGAUGGAUGCUAGGUGUCGGGGAGCGAUCUUCGGCGCCGCAGCUAACGCAUUAAGCAUCCCGCCUGGGGAGUACGGUCGCAAGGCUGAAACUUAAAUGAAUUGACGG